rnacentral:tRNA from 1 species
GCGCGCGUAGCUCAAUUGGCAGAGUAGCGGUCUCCAAAACCGCAGGUUGCGAGUUCGAGUCUCGCCGCGCGUA